UGGGGAAUAUUGCACAAUGGGCGAAAGCCUGAUGCAGCAACGCCGCGUGAAGGAUGAAGGUCUUCGGAUCGUAAACUUCUGUCCUUGGGGAAGAAAUAAAUGACGGUACCCUUGGAGGAAGCCCCGGCUAACUACGUGCCAGCAGCCGCGGUAAUACGUAGGGGGCGAGCGUUAUCCGGAAUUAUUGGGCGUAAAGAGUGCGUAGGUGGUAACUUAAGCGCGGGGUUUAAGGCAAUAGCUCAACUAUUGUUCGCCCCGCGAACUGGGGUACUUGAGUGCAGGAGAGGAAAGCGGAAUUCCUAGUGUAGCGGUGAAAUGCGUAGAUAUUAGGAGGAACACCAGCGGCGAAGGCGGCUUUCUGGACUGAAACUGACACUGAGGCACGAAAGUGUGGGGAGCAAACAGG
rnacentral:rRNA from 2 species